AUGUCAGAGCUGGAAAAUUGGGUUAUUCAGUGGGGAAAAAACCCCUGGGGUCCAAACUCUUGCAGAAGUAUGCAGCAGGCUGACCUAGAGUUUUCCAAAUUAAAAGAAAUGACCAAGUGUAAACUUUUCUCCCAAAAAUCCUUAAAAUGUGCAGGAGCAUGGGCAGUGUGGUUAGUUGCCAAAAGCUUAGCUGAAGAAAAACAGGCAGCCCAAGUAGAAAUUCAGAACCUGAAGGAGGAAAACAAGAAACUGAAAGAAGAAAUAAAGGCUCAGCAGCUUAAACUAGAGGAGGGUAUAAUUCGAGAAGGAGCUGUGGCCAUGGAACAAGCGCAAAGUGUUCUCCAGUACCAAGAGGCGUGUGAACAAAAAAAGGCCAUUUUGAAUGAAAAUCAGGCAUUGAAGGAAAAAGUAGCCAUCAGUACAAAAGCUGUAGAGGAGGCACAAAGAACAAUCCAAUUACUGGUGCAAAAAAUACAGUCCCUGAAAGACAGGAGCACAGACCAGCAGGCCUGUGAGGUCAAGAUGGAAAAGUUAAAAGCUGCGUUGGAGGCGAAGCACGGGGCUGUCAUGGCCCCUACAAAAUCCCCCCUUCAGAGGGAUGAGGAGCACUGGGAUGGAAAGGAGCGGGUUCAUCCAGAAGGCAGCCCCUCCACAGGGGAGUGUAAGCUUGUGAGCCCACAGUCAGUAGUUUUUGAGAGGCCAGAAAGAUUUAAAGCAAAUCGUGUUUCACUUCCCUGUGCUCCAGCGGCUGGGGAAAGGGGAGCAGGGGAGCAGGGCAGUGAGAGGAACGUGCAGCCACAGGCAGGACAGGUUAUCCCGGAGGGAACAGCCAGCCCUGGCCCAGCUCCUCGCCAGCUCAAACCCAGGAGCGCCCCGGGGAGGAGAGAGCAGCCGGCAGGCGGUGUCUGGCCAAGGGAGGACAGAGGGGGAUGCGGGAGAGGAAGGGAGAACCGCAGGGAUGUGCGGGGGCCGGAGGUGCCGCCGAGCCCCGCCGCGGGCAGAGGGAGGAGAGGGAGGUGGCAGGGCAGGAGGCGGUGGCAGGACGGCACAGCCCCCCGGUUCGUGGUGCAGAACACCAUGGCCAGGAGGGAGUUAAGCACCAUGCGAGUGGACAUCUGGAGGGAGCUCCGGGGCCGGGGGGAGGACAUGGCCCGCUGGGAUAAUGCUCCCAUCAGGGUUUUGUUGGAUCGCCUGCUGGAGAUCGGCCGCAGGAGAGAGGGAAGCGAGCCCGGGGCUCCUGCCCUCCCUGUCAUGGCCUGA
rnacentral:lncRNA from 1 species